AACGAACGCUGGCGGCAGGCCUAAUACAUGCAAGUCGAACGGAUGUAGCAAUACAUUAGUGGCGCACGGGUGCCUAACGCGUGGGAACAUACCCUUGAGUAAGGAAUAAUGUCUGGAAACGGACACUAAUACCUUAUAAUGACUUCGGUCCAAAGAUUCAUCGCUCAAGGAUUGGCCCGCGUCUGAUUAGCUAGUUGGUGAGGUAACGGCUCACCAAGGCGACGAUCAGUAGCUGGUCUGAGAGGAUGAUCAGCCACACUGGGACUGAGACACGGCCCAGACUCCUACGGGAGGCAGCAGUAAGGAAUAUUGGACAAUGGGGGAAACCCUGAUCCAGCCAUGCCGCGUGCGCGAUGACGGUCUUCGGAUUGUAAAGCGCUUUGAGUGGGGACGACGAUGACGGUACCCACAGAACAAGUCACGGCUAACUUCGUGCCAGCCGCCGCGGUAA
rnacentral:rRNA from 1 species